CCCUUAGAUGUCCUGGGCCGCACGCGUGCUACACUGACACUUACACCGAGUUUUUCCAAUGCCGAAAGGCCAUUGGUAAUCAGCAAUAAGUGUCGUGAUGGGGAUAGAUCUUUGGAAUUAUUGAUCUUGAACGAGGAAUGCCUAGUAAUCGUAGGUCAUCAGCCUGCGAUGAUUACGUCCCUGCCCUUUGUACACACCGCCCGUCGCACCUACCGAUUGAAUGGUCCGGUGAAAUCUCGGGACGGCGGCUUGGUCGCUUGCGUCCGACUGCUGAAACUUGAUUAAACCAUAUCAUUUAGAGGAAGGUGAANUCGUANCA
rnacentral:rRNA from 1 species